rnacentral:rRNA from 1 species
UCCCCCUGGAGGCAACGAUGGGGAGAUUGAAAAGGGGGGGCGACCCUGAUCCACCGAUGCCGCGUGUGUACUCCAGGCCCUGGCGUUGUUGAGCACUUUCGCCGAGGAGAAACGCCUCUGAGUUAAUACCCCCUCGGAAAGGAUGACUCUUUCAGAUCCACCGGCUAACUCCGUGCCAACAACCCCGGUAAUACUGAUGGUGCCAGCGUUUGUCGGAAUUACUGGACGAAACGCCCGCGUAUGUGGCGUGAUCAGCCGGUUGUGAACUCCCCGGGCUCACCCUGGUAACAGUCUCCGGAACUGUCGCGCUCGAGUGUGGGAUAGGAAGGUAGAAUUCCCGGUGUACCGGUGAACCGCGUAAUUAUCCUUAAGAAUACCUCUGGCGAAUGCAGCCUUCUGGACUGAAAUUGACACUGAAGUGCUAAAAUCCGUGUAGCUCACAAGAUUCAACCCCUGGUAGUCCAACUUCCUGGACAUGUACUGACACUGUUGGGUGCCUAGUGCACUUUGUGGCGAAUUAAAUACGAUAGGUCGACCGCCUGUGAGUAUGGCCGCUAGGUGUUGCUCGCAUGAAUUGACAG